AUAAUUUGCCGUAAUGGAAAGGCAAGGAAAACUUGAUAGAAUGCAUGCAUAUGGUUUGAAGCAGAGGCAGUUGCUCCAUCUUGUUCGAAAAAAGAUGGAUGGUUAUUUUGGCCAACUUGUGUUCAUGCAAUGAAAGCUACCUAUAAUAAUUUUUCAACCAUUGACUCCUGCAACAAGCUUAGACUUAAAAGAGUUAAUGUAACUGGAGAUAAAGAAGUAUGUGCAGGAUUUAAUUUCACGACUAAAGAGGACUUCGAAGAAGAAUUUCUGGGGGAACAAAGAUCGAGGAAUAAUUUGGUUUUAACUGGUUUGCAUCUUAUGAACAAAGUACAUAAUAUGAUUUAAAUUGAUGAUUUAUAGUUACACCUAUUGAAGUUUGAAGCAGAGGCAGUUGCUCCAUCUUGUUCGAAAAAAGAUGGAUGGUUAUUUUGGCCAACUUGUGUUCAUGCAAUGAAAGCUACCUAUAAUAAUUUUUCAACCAUUGACUCCUGCAACAAGCUUAGACUUAAAAGAGUUAAUGUAACUGGAGAUAAAGAAGUAUGUGCAGGAUUUAAUUUCACGACUAAAGAGGACUCCGAAGAAGAAUUUCUGGGGGAACAAAGAUCGAGGAAUAAUUUGGUUUUAACUGGUUUGCAUCUUAUGAACAAAGUACAUAAUAUGAUUUAAAUUGAUGAUUUAUAGUUACACCUAUUGAAAUUCUGUAUCUCAAUGAUAUCCUGGCUUAUCGAUACGAUAUUCUGUAAAUCCACUCACAUACAAAUUUUACUUACACACGUAAUUCCUGUAAAUUCACUCACACACAUAAAUCUCAAAAAAGAUGUUUUUAUUUUUAUCUAUAAAUUGUAAAUUUUAUAUAAAUAAAUUGUAUAUUUUUUAUGUUUUUCAUUGUAUAUUACUAUUUGUAUAAAAAUCGA